rnacentral:rRNA from 1 species
CCUACGGGUGGCAGCAGUGAGGAAUAUUGGUCAAUGGACGAGAGUCUGAACCAGCCACGUAGCGUGAAGGAUGACUGCCCUAUGGGUUGUAAACUUCUUUUAUAUGGGAGUAAAAUGUUCCACGUGUGGGCUUUUGUAUGUACCAUAUGAAUAAGGAUCGACUAACUCCGUGCCAGCGGCCGCGGUCAUACGGAGGAUCCGAGCGUUAUCCGGAUUUCUUGGGUUUAAAGGGAGCGUAGGUGGAUUGUUAAGUCAGUUGUGAAAGUGUGCGGCUCAACCGUAGAAUUGCAGUUGAAACUGGCUGUCUUGAGUACAGUAGAGGUGGGCGGAAUUCGUGGUGUAGCGGUGAAAUGCUUAGAUAUCACGAAGAACGCCGAUGGCGAAGGCAGCUUACUGGACUGCAACUGACACUGAGGCUCGAAAGUGUGGGUAUCAAACAGGAUUAGAUACCCGAGUAGUC